rnacentral:rRNA from 1 species
UACGUAGGGUGCGAGCGUUAAUCGGGAUUACUGGGCGUAAAGCGUGCGCAGGCGGUUCGUUGUGUCGGCGGUGAAAGCCCCGGGCUUAACCUGGGAAUGGCCGUUGAAACUGGCGAACUGGAGUGUGGCAGAGGGGGGUGGAAUUCCGCGUGUAGCGGUGAAAUGCGCAGAUAUCAGGAGGAACACCGGUGGCGAAGGCGGGUCUCUGGGCCGAUACUGACGCUGAGGAGCGAAAGCAUGGGUAGCGAACAGG